AUAAACCCUGCAGGGCCACGCCCCCAGAUCAGGCCCAGCCUCCUUCCGGCAAAUCCAAUCCCCUCCGCACAGCUGUGCCUGUGCGCGCAUGCGCUCUUGGGUUGCAUCUCGACAUCUCCUGUGACGCCUGGGGCCAGUGGAGUAAACACUUGUGGCUGUGGCUUCUCCUUGAGUGGAUACAGCAGGACGCCUGGGAGGUGGAGGCCAGGGUUUGCGGCUGCUAAACAUCUCCAGGGUGCCAGACGGUUCCUUCCCACAAUCACCCGGCCUCAAACACUGAGAAAGUCUGUGUGUGAUUAUUGCUUCCCGACACCCUGCAGGCCUCCUGGACGUAUCAGCUUCAGGUCACACAGGUCCACAGUCCAUGAAGUGAAGACAGAGAAAGAGAAACAACUAUGACCACGCCUUGUUUUGCACCUCAUUGAACGUGAAACAUCUAAACUUCAAAACCAUCGAGUGCUUGGAAACAUCACCUACAGACUUGAUAACUUGUCUUCAAAUUUCCAAUUUCUCCUUAGGUCCCGUGGUAGAAUGGAGGGAUUUGUUGAAACUACGCCUUUGAACGCUGGGCCCCUGUAUUUCUUUGAUCAGUUAUAACAAGGAAAAUCCAGAAGGACUGAAGCAAGCCAAAGUGAACACGGCAGCUUCCUGUGAGAAAUACGAAUUCUGCUUGGCCGGCCUCUCGGAGCCCCCCAGUCUGCUCAGGCUCCCGUCCAGCCUCAAGCCCUCCAAACUCCACGUGCAGAACUGCCUGUUUGAAGAGUACAAACGCAUCGCCCCUGAAACCCUGGGUGAACUUGAGGAGAUGCUGCAGAGUUAUGCAGGGCACCACACCCCGUUCCCCAUGGGCCUCAUCAACCUGGUGAACUACAGCUGGCAGGAACUCACGGACAGUGCCCCGAAGCCCUGCCCACCCAGGGCGCCAGACCCAGCCAGGCAAGGGCAGCCUGCGGUUAAAGCAAAACAAGACGUUUCAGCAAGUAAAUUUGUGAAAAAAUUAUGUAAGUAGAAGUUACUGGUUAGAUUUAUACAUAAUGCUUUGGGAUAAAGGAAUAAAAACAGCAAGGAAGUGGGCCAGGGAUGUAGCUCAGUGACACCGAACCUGCCUGGCAAAUAAGGUCCUGAGUUCGAUUCCUGUACUGGGGAAAAACCCAAAAGUAGCAAGGACGUUAGAUACUGAUAGAGCUCUGUGUUGGUGUUAUUGUUUGUAUAUUAAUUACUCCAAGAAGUAAUCAAUGUAUAGAGUGGACCCUCAAGUUACAACUGGCCUGACGUGAACGACUUGGAUUACGACUGGAAUUUCAGUUUUAACAUAUGACCAAAGUUUUGAGUUACAACCCGAAUGCCAGCCACUUGUGCUUCCAGAUGGUCUCAGAUAGAGACUUAACCCUUAAAGAGUCCUGGAAGGAACUUGCCAGCAUCCUGUCCUGUGUGGGGUUCACUGAGGAGUCCUGGGGUGGGCCAGUGUCUCUCUGAGGACCCUGAGAUCUGCCUGUGAGCAGGAGAGAGACUUUGAAGGCAUUUGACUACUUUGCAUUACAACAAGCCCUCCGGAACGAACUGAGUUCAUAAGUCGCUGUUCCAUUGUAGCAGGAGAAGGAUGCAGUGUUUCCGAUUAAAUAAAGCAUAUAUUGACCUGUAUUAAACUUCAUAUGAUGCGAAGCUUCUGCCACCAGGUGUGUCCCUGAGGUCAUCUUGCAACGGUGAGGUCCGGCAGAAAUAGAAUAAAUAGGGCCAGGGAUUUGGCUCAGUGGCGCUGCCACCUGCCUCGCAAGCCCAGGGUCCCAGUUCCAUCCCUGGAUCCAAAAAACAGGAGCAGCAUGAUGGCCGCACGGUUUCUUUCCAACGUGGGGCUGAGCUGAGGCUGGGUCUUGCCCCAUGGACUCCUUUGGUAGCCCAGACUGGGCUUUGACUCGCUCAGUCCUUCUGCGAUAGCCAGUUUGUGCUAAGCAGCACCAGGCUUCUGGCCGUUACCCAGCUGCUGCGGAGGGAAGGAAAGUGAACCGUGAUUCCUCGUCCCUAGCUCUCAGGACAGAAGUGUAAAUGAACACCAUUUAAUAAAUCAAGGGAUUUUGCAGCAGCGUUUUCAGUUCAAACAGCUGAGUUAGUGCCAGUGCAGUGACGGAAAUAUUUUCAGGGUCGUUAUUGGUGUUUAUGAAAUCUUUGCCAUGUCAUUUAAGAGUAUUAAACACAGCCUGGUGUGGCGGCGCACACCUGUAAUCCCAGCACUCAGGAGGCUGAGGCAGGAGGAUCGCCUCGAGUUGGAGGCCAGCCUGGACUACAUAGCAAGACCCUGUCUCAAAAACAACAACAAUAAAAAUGAAACCCGACCCUUUACUUUUCUGUGCACAAUGCACUAGUGAACCCUCCGUCUCCUCCCUCCCCACUUCUCCUUCUUAUAUCCUAGCCCUUGCCAGCCACGACCACGGAGUCCACCCAGAGAACAGCUCCCCUGAUGUCAUCCACUUCUCGCUGUCAUCCAAGGCCUGUCUAGAAAAUGGUAAGGCACUUCACCUCCCCAAACAGGCUCAGUUCUGACGACCAGCGGAGUGAGUGGCAGUUGCUUCGGGGUCCCUGAGUUCGGGGUUUGAACACGGCUUCAAACAUGCUAGGUUACAGCUGCAGACCCCCGUUCCAUUUUGGGAGACAGAGUCUUGCUGAAUUGCCCAGGCUGGCCUUGAACUUGAAUCCUCCUGCCUCAGCCUCCCAAACAGCUGAGAUUCUAUUUGUGCACGACCACACCUGGCAGGAACUUGUGGAAUAUUCUUGAUUUAGAGAAUAUACUUCAUGCCGAGUGUGCCCUACCCACCUCCCCACCCUCUGUGUACACCUCGGGACGCUGCAUGGAGGGGUGAGAGUUUGGGACUGGCUUCUGGGGCGGGCCAGGAAAUAGACUGCAGUGCUCAUGCUAAGGAAGAGCCCCGGAGGUGCAGGAAACAGCGAGCAGCGGUGAGGGGCGCGUACGAGGCCACUUGAAGGCGUCCAGGAUUUCAGUAAGUGGCCCAGAAACGGGAUGUCCUCGACUUCCCAGCCCGGGGAGGGGCGUCUGUGCGGGGAGACGGGGUGACGGUCAGGCCCCAGAGGCGCCUGAGGGGGAGAAGACGGAGCACAUUGUGUCACGAAGUGAAAGAACGCGCUUGUGGGUGAAAGGAGAAAGCCAGGAGAGCACUUACAGAAAACAAUUAAAAAGAGGAAUACCUCCUGUGAGCAGGAGGAGCUUCCAAAUGGAGGUCCAAGCUGUUUUUGUUAUUUUU
ensembl:lincRNA